GAUGAACGCUGGCGGCGUGCCUAAUACAUGCAAGUCGAGCGAACGGACGAGAAGCUUGCUUCUCUGAUGUUAGCGGCGGACGGGUGAGUAACGCGUGGAUAACCUACCUAUAAGACUGGGAUAACUUCGGGAAACCGGAGCUAAUACCGGAUAAUAUUUUGAACCGCAUGGUUCAAAAGUGAAAGACGGUCUUGCUGUCACUUAUAGAUGGAUCUGCGCUGCAUUAGCUAGUUGGUAAGGUAACGGCUUACCAAGGCAACGAUGCAUAGCCGACCUGAGAGAGUGAUCGGCCACACUGGAACUGAGACACGGUCCAGACUCCUACGGGAGGCAGCAGUAGGGAAUCUUCCGCAAUGGGCGAAAGCCUGACGGAGCAACGCCGCGUGAGUGAUGAAGGUCUUCGGAGCGUAAAACUCUGUUAUUAGGGAAGAACAUAUGUGUAAGUAACUGUGCACAUCUUGACGGUACCUAAUCAGAAAGCCACGGCUAACUACGUG
rnacentral:rRNA from 1 species